UAGAGGAAGUAAAAGUCGUAACAAGGUUUCCGUAGGUGAACCUGCGG
rnacentral:rRNA from 2 species